CACACACACUCACAGAAUGCAAUUGCAAUUUCACUUCCAUUUCAAUUAAAAUUUAAAGGGUUAGUUCACCCAAAAAUGAAAAUUCUGUCAUUAAUUAGUCACCCUCAUGCCGUUCCAAACCUGUAAGACUUUCGUUCAUCUUCGUAACACAAAUGAAGAUCUUCUUGAUGAAAUCAGAGAACUUUCUGACUGUCCCUCCAUAACUACCACUUUGACGCUUCAAAAUGUUCAUAAAGAGAUUGUAAAACUAAUACAUAUGAAUUGAGUGGUUUAGUUCCAAUUUUCUGAAGAGACUUGAUCACUUUAUAUGAUGAAGAGAUUUAAUUUAGGCUUUUAUUCACAUAUAAACAUUGAUCAGGGAACAUAAACAGCUCAACCGAAACUGAUUGACGCACAAGAACAAACCUUUUCUGGAAGCUCAAAUGUGCUGUGUAACACACAAGAAUGAACCUCAUUGGUCAAGCAAACUUGCUUGAGCUUCCACAACUGAUGUGUGAGUUGAUGAAUGUUUAUAUGUGAAUAUACGCCUAAAUUUAGUCAGUUCAUCAUAUAAAGAGAUUAAGUCUUUUUAGAAAAUUUGGACUAAACCACUCAAUACAUACAGUAUGGAUUCAUUUUAUGAUCUCUUUAUGAACUUUUUUAAGCUUCAAAGUAGGUAGUUAUGUAGCUGUCUAUGGAGGGACAGAAAUCUCUCAGAUUUCAUCAACAAGCAUCUCGUUAAAACAUGACCAAAGAGGAACUUUGCUGCCGUACCACGGCUGCAGCAGGCGCAAUGAUAUUACGCAGCGUCUCUCACAAAUGUCUCCAUGGUUGCAAGGCACGCUCCCUGUGCAAGCAGGGGUCACAGGCGCUGCGUAAUAUCAUUGCGCCUGCUGCAGCCAUGGUACGGCAGCAAAGUUCCUUGAUUAUUACGCCGGAAUGAGAGUAUAGUUCCUAGCCAUAUCGGCCUAGAAAACCACAACUUUUCAUUUUCUGUCGGUCUUAGUACACGAUGUAACUACAGAAAAGUCGAGUUUUAAAUAGGAAAAAUAUUAAAACUCUUUGGUCAUUUUUUAACGAGAUGCUAAUGGUCUAAUCAGAUUCAAUGAACUAUGCUAAGCUAUGCUAAAAGUGGUACCGCCAGACCCGGAGAUCGGCUGAAUGGAUUCGAAAAUGGUAAAACUCAACUGUUUAACUCUAGGGGAGUUGGAAAAUGAGCCUAUUUUCAAAAAAAGUGGCGUGUUCCUUUAAGGAAUGUACCAAAUUACUAAAAGGCACCAACACAGGAAAGCAAAAUCCCCCUGAAAGACACAGAUGAGAAGGCAUGGAUUUGCGAGGGAAAACAAGUAUUGAGGUUGAGGACGGGUUGAGGAUGUCAUUGAUGUGGGAGGCCAUCAAGCCUGUAUAGUCAGCAGCGACUUUAGAGAGUAUAAUCUGUUUUUCCUCACCCGUGACAAACGGGGAUAAGGCUCAAUAUUAUCUCCAAGGUCAACCUGAUCCUGGCACUGAAAAGACGUGCCCAACCGGAGGAGCCCUGACUCGCCACUAUAUCCCUUUCUCCUCCUUAUCACCGUCUAAACACACUUGUUUAAACAAAAGAGAGACCGAACAAGCCCGCAUUCACUUUCUCUCAUGCUCUCUUUACCACAUCAGUGCCGCAAUACAGAUAACUUAAGUUAUAACCACCAGCAACACAUUUUGACAACAAUAACAUUAUCUUUUAUGCAUUCUCUUCUGUGCAAAGGUUAGAUUAUACAGCUAUUAGAGAAUUUAAAAGGGCAUUGUUGGAGCUUUACGAAACCGUACAAUUAAAGGGCAAAGGUCAAAGCAAUUUUCUCAACUGAAAUUGAAAGUAUUACUCAUGAAAGGUGACAAAAGCCUCAAUUAAUACAUAUUGACAAGUACACACGAAACAAAACGGUACAGGCACAACACAAAAAACAACAACAUGCAACAAGAAGAUUAAUUUCCGUAACAUUUCCUGUUAUUACACUCUCCAUGGAACACUGACCAAUGUGCCCUCUCAGCGGAUAUGAGAGUCCAGGGUAACCAUUCAACCUUGUACACCCUGCUUGUCCAUUUCUUACCACCACAACUUCCUCCCCCAUGAUCCAUUACAAGGCCCUUAGAGCAGGACCCGUCACUGUGAUGUAUUUAAACUGUACUGCACGGUCACAGACCGCUUAUGGUCCUGAUUCAACAAAAUAGUUCUUCUGCAUGAAUCUGAGACUAUAAGACCAGAUGGCUUCCAGAAUUUUCUCUGGAUUGAUUUUCAAGGGAUUGAUUGUGGUGAAGCUUUGAGCUGUGUAUGAGACUGAUGUAAUCAUAAAUAAGAGCCAGGCUGCUAAAUAACCAAUAGAAACCAAUUGACUAUAUUUACACGCCAAUUCAUUCCCAAGUUUGCCAGCCCACGGAUACAUAAGCUAGCUGAUUUUUUUUUUUUUUUUUUUUUUUUUUUUUACUCUACCAGUGUUUAUACAGAACUAGGCCUUCAUUCUCUGCCAAAAACUACUUUUGUCACUAUGGUUUGCCCCGCUUCCCUCUAAAUCCUGCCAUCACAACUCCCAAUGGAGUCCAGCCAGGAAGCCUGCCUCACUGGUUGGUUGGAUGAAUGUCAUGGUAACCACACUGCUAAUGGUUGCUACGGUUUCCAGCUGACUGCUCUGCUGAGGGGUUUCAAGUGAUGCCCUGGUGACCAGCUCUACACCUUGGGCAGUCACUCAUGAGAGACAAGGCCCCCCCUCUGGCAUAUCUCACUCCCCUCAUGCUCUGGUGGGGAUCUAAAGUUAAAAGUCACCCAAGUCAUUAUUCACGGAUGACCUUCUCCUCUGUUUAAGCUGAGAUGCAUUGCAAAAGUCAUAUGUACCACAAAAAUGGCCUAUUGAUAACAAAAAUCAUUGCUUGUCUUGAGAGACCAAACCUCAUUUUUGUAGAACUUGACGUAAUUAUAAUGUUUGAUUUGAGAGCGACAGCAGAGGCUAAGAUUUUCAGUGAAUAAUUACUCAAAAUUAAUCACACAAAGCAGUCAUAUGAUUGCAGAAGAAUCAGAAUAGAUAACAAGGGGCAUAAGGACCACUUUUAUAACACUUUAAUGGUGCCCCUUUGUUAUUUUGAAAUCUUGACAGCCUAUUCACUUGAACUGAACCUACCUACCUCAAUUGACUCCAAGUGCAUGCCCUCUCCCGCCAGCUAUGGUCAUUAAAAAAGUGCCACCUUGUUGUUCCUUCACAACGAGACACAAAGUCACUCUCCAAAUGCAGUUAAAAAUCAAUAUAUUGCAUUUAACAACACUAACAUAUGCAUAAUUCCACUAUUUCUAGGUCUAUUACAUAUUUUAAAAGUUGUUAGACCCUAGAUGUUUUUGUAGUGACGCAAACUGAAAAAAGAACCGUGGAAUUGCAUACAGAAAUAUGAAAAUUUAAAAUAUUAAUAGAAUAUGCAUAGUUAUUCCAAACAAAAGCCUAAUUUUAUAUGGGAAUUUUUCAGAUCAGUGAAUCCACAACGUCCCAUUCCAAACAAGAACUUGUAACAAUUUUGUAACAAGUAACUAUACCUAUAAACCUGGCCUCAUUUGUUUCCACUGAUUUUAGGAGAAGUCACUUCGUGGCUUGAUUGCAAAAUGCCCCUUCUAUCAAUUUAUCUAUCAUUUUAGUAUUUGGAUGUGGACGACGCAAGGGGAUCAGAAGAGGAGGAAAAAGGCAAACACUUUGAAAAUGGUUUCAUCCUUGAUAAUUACGUGCAGUGAAGCGUGACUCUGCAGGCAGCACCCCAGAGAAGGUUGAGGUAAUCAGUCAGUCACUGCACCCUCUACUGGGGGAAAAGGGGUCUGAGGUCAUCGUUUCUGCUGCAAAACCCGCAGGUGCCCACCGCUGUGUGUGCAUCAGCUGCUUAAAGCUCUGCUUUUUUAAGCCUCAGAAACUAAUAGAAAUGAGAGAUAUCAGAUGCCUUGAUAUGAAGUGUGUGUGUGUGCACAGCUUUAUACCAAAUGGUCCCCACAAGGAUAGUAAAACCUGAAAAUCACCUACAUUGUGGGGACUAGCCAGCAGUCCCUGUGAGGGAAAUGGAUUAAUAAACAUACUAAAUGAUGUUUUUUGAAAACAUCAAAACAUUCUUCAAAAAAUACUCUCGUUUUAUUAUUGUUUUCAUCUCCUAUCCUUUCUAGACAUCUUUAUCAUUGAGCAGAACCCAUCUGUCAAUCAAAGAUGUCACUGGGCGGAGCCCAACCACGCAUAUAAUUUCCUUUUCUGCACAGCUAAAAAUACAAGUCUAAAAAUAGCAGGCUUGGUGAUGAACGCUUUCCGCUCAAGGUGUGCAAAGCAUUUGAGGUGCAACGCACUGACAGGACGCAGGCAUAUUCAGAAACGUGAUAUGACAGGGCAUUUGGCGGGAUUUAACGCUGAGGGAAGAGAAUUCUUGAUUAACCCUCUCUUCUCCCUAGCGAGUGUUUGUUGUAGGAUUCUUAGACCAUUUCUUAUGCCUUUCCAAAAGGAAAAAAGAAAAAUCAAUACGGUAAGAGACACGCUCACACAUACAUACACAGACUCCACUGACUCAGCAAAUGAGGAUCAGUUGGUCAGAGAAUAAUUUCCCUCCACAGCAUGAAAACAAGACUAUAUAAAGCAACCAUUCUAUCAUGUGUGAAAAAGAAAACGCCCAGAAUGUGGAGCUAAACAAGCAGAAAAGCUAUAUUUUAAACCCAGCAAAGCGCCCUCAUACUUUUUAAAGCAUAAAAAAAGCAUACAAUAAUGCAACAGGAUUACGGAAUAUAGCCUUCUGUUUUUCACACAUCUCCAACACCUUUUUAUACGCCUUAAAAUAAAUUUUUUAAAAAAAAAAUAAAAACGUCAGGAAUGCUAGUAAUCAUGUACUCCAACACAUUGUCAUAUACUCCCUGUGCAUGUUUGGGACUUUUGUUAUAUUUCCUGUCCUGUGUGUUUGUAGUCCAUAUUUGUAGUUCUUUGUAGUUUUCCCUGUUGAUUAGUCUCCCCAGGUGUGUCUUGUUCUCUCGUUAUCUUAUUAAACUUGUUUGCCCCUGUGUGUAUAUAUAGGACUUGUGUUUCUAUUGUGCUUUGUCAGUCGAUGUUUGGUGUCCCAGAGCCGCCUGCUCUUUCAGACAUGGCCAUGGAGGCCGUCGUAGAGCCGCCUGUCUACCCUGAUGCGACCAUGGAGGUCGUCCUUGAACUGGUUGCCAGCGCUGACUUGACCACGAAGGCUCACCCCUGAACUUCCUUGGGGAUCUUUGGGCCUGUCUGCUUGGCCGUGGUGGUCUUCUGAUCCGCCGUGGGGAUCUUCAGCCCAGGCUGCACUGCUGUGGUGGACUUCAGCACCGCAGCCCUGGCCACCUGCUCUGCCAGCCCCGCCAGCCCUGCCCUGGCCACCUGCUUAGCCUUAGCCACCUUUUCAGCCUCCUCCGCCCUGGCUACCUGCUCAGCCUGCUUCGCCUUGGCCACCUGCUCUACCUCUUUCCCUGGUCCUCCUCCUCUCCAUGAAACUGGACCACCAUCCCUCCCCCUGUUCCGCCUCCACUCCACCAUCCACCUGAACUUUUGUUUUUGGGGUGUUUCUUCCUGUGAGCGUCUGUAAGCCGCUCUUAAGGGUGGGGGAGGGGCUCUGUCAUAUACUCCCUGUGCAUGUUUGGGACUUUUGUUAUAUUUCCUGUGUGUGCCAUGUUUGUAGUCCUUUGUAGUUUUCCCUGUUGAUUAGUCUCCCCAGAUGUGUCUUGUUCUAUCUUUAUCUUGAUAGGCUUGUUUGCCCCUGUGUAUAUAGGUCUUGUGUUUCUCUUGUGCUGUGGGAGAUCGGAAAUCAGAGAUUUCAAAUAAGUUGGCACGUGUGAGGAAAAGUGUCCCAGGAAGAAAAUGGAACAUCUGACUACUGCUAAAAGCAGCAAAUGCGAUUGUGAACGAGUGUGGUUUUUUUUUUUUUUUUUUUUUUUAUUUAUUUUU